rnacentral:snoRNA from 1 species
ACAAUAUGAUGAGCAAAAUUGGUCCGUGUUACUGAGAGGCCUCAAGAACCUCGUCAUGGCGAUACAACCGAGCACUUUGUGCAUCUCUGAUUCU